CCUACGGGAGGCAGCAGUGGGGGAUAUUGCACAAUGGGGGAAACCCUGAUGCAGCGACGCCGCGUGGGUGAAGAAGCGCCUCGGCGCGUAAAGCCCUGUCAGCAGGGAAGAAAAUGACGGUACCUGAAGAAGAAGCCCCGGCGAACUACGUGCCAGCAGCCGCGGUAAAAAGUAGGGGGCAAGCGUUAUCCGGAUUUACUGGGUGUAAAGGGGGCGCAGGCGGCGGUGCAAGCCAGGAGUGAAAGCCCGGGGCCCAACCCCGGGACUGCUCUUGGAACUGCGUGGCUAGAGUGCAGGAGGGGCAGGCGGAAUGCGUGGUGUAGCGGUGAAAUGCGUAGAUAUCAGGAGGAACACCGGUGGCGAAGGCGGCCUGCUGGACUGCAACUGACGUUGAGGCCCGAAAGCGUGGGGAGCAAACAGGAUUAGAUACCCCUGUAGUC
rnacentral:rRNA from 1 species